rnacentral:rRNA from 1 species
AGUAGCCGCCACGGUAAUACGAAGGGUGCAAGCGUUACUCGGAAUUACUGGGCGUAAAGCGUGCGUAGGUGGUUGUUUAAGUCUGCUGUGAAAGCCCUGGGCUCAACCUGGGAAUUGCAGUGGAUACUGGGCGACUAGAGUAAGGUAGAGGAUAGUGGAAUUUCCGGUGUAGCAGUGAAAUGCGUAGAGAUCGGAAGGAACAUCUGUGGCGAAGGCGACUAUCUGGGCCAUUACUGACACUGAGGCACGAAAGCGUGGGGAGCAAACAGGAUUAGAUACCCGCGUAGUCCCUGUCUCUUAU